UUAGCUGAAGCCAAAAGAGAGGCAUAUCACUGUUAAUGAUCCCAUUGAAUAAUAUAAUUCCAGUUAAA
rnacentral:tRNA from 2 species